UUGAAUGAUUUAUUGAGGUCUUCGGACCGA
rnacentral:sRNA from 1 species